AAUGAACGCUGGCGGCGUGCCUAAUACAUGCAAGUCGAGCGAACACACGAGGACCUUGCUCCUCUGACUUUAGCGGCGGACGGGUCAGUAACACGUGUAUAACCUACCUAUAAGACUGGGAUACCUUCAGGAAACCGGAGCUAAGACCGGAUAAUAUAUUGCACCGCAUGGUUCAAUAGUUGAAUACGCUUUUUCUGUCGCUUAUAGAUUAAUCCGCGCCGCAUUAGCUAGUUGGUAAGGUAACGGAUUACCAAGGCAACGAUGCUUAACCGACCUGAAAGCGAGAUUGGAUACCUUGUAUAUGAGAAAGGUCCCCGACUCUUAAGGUGGGACGCAGCCGGGAAUCUUACGCAAUGGAGCAAAGCGUAACGGUGAAACGAGGGGUGAGGCAUGAAGCACUUAUGCUCGGUAAACUAUGUUAUCCGGGAAGAAGUAAUGUGCAAGUACCUAGGAACGUCUUGACGGUACCUAAUCAGAAAGCCACGGCUAACUACGUG
rnacentral:rRNA from 1 species